rnacentral:lncRNA from 1 species
GCAGUUUGCAGCCAUAUUUAUACCUGCUUUUUAAUUAUAUACAAAUUAACGGGUGGAUUGUGGAGACAUUUCUACAAAAGGGGUGGUAACCUUUGAGUUGUCCGGUCACUGCCACAGAAAGGGGCAAUAACUUCCGGGUGUUGCCAUGGCAGCAGUAAACUGACCUGACACACUGGUGGGCUUGUCUUAGGGAGAGGCGCUUCUCUCUCUUCCCUGUUUUAGCUAGUCCUCCACCUUGUUUCCUGUCUGAGCCCCGCCUCCAGAGUCGAGUCCCGCCUCCUGCCUCAGAUGGAGCCAACUACAACUAUUACAUGAGACAUACGUUACAACUUGUCAAGAUUUCCUUUAAAUUACAUAGUCAAGAAAGCGGCCAUGUUGGAAAUAUCACCUGGCUCCUUUCUCUGCCAUAUGGAUGAAAGAAGGCCAGAUCAUAAAACAUUGCUCCAGGUGACCUCCAAGAGUCUCCACAAGAGUGUUGAACUCAGAAAACAUGCGACUAGUGAGAAAGAUUCAUGGUGUGAUGCAGCCAGGCUACAGUCCCAGGAGCAGUGGCACAUGCACCAUGAUGUUGUAAUUUUACCAUCACAAUGGACAGCUGGACACAUCAAGCUGCAGCUGGGGUCUGCAGGGUCUACAGAUGAAGAUUAUUAAGUUUGCAAUGGUUUACUACAGUCUUUUCAGUUACAUCUAUUUCUAAUGUCAUCUGAUUUUUGACUACUAUCAUAAUUAUAUAACAACUUGGAUUAAGUUAUGUCACAUUAAAUAUUGCUCCUAGAAUGCUAGUCCUGUCAUCUAGUUGUGAUUCUUCACCCAUCCAUUCAUGAGGUCAGCCUGCAGUACUCACUGGAGCACCUUGGAGAAAAGCAUGGCUGCAGAGCAGCUGAUGGCCCAUCAGCGUAAUUCUGAUGCCUGUGGGAUAACAGUUCUCCAAUGUUUUUCCUUUCAUUUUGGGCCAUGAAAAGUACAUAGGCAUUACAGUUGGCACUUAAUCCAAAUGUACAUUUCAGAUUACCUCUUUAUUUAAUACAAAGCAAACUACAUAUUGACUAAAGA